CCUACGGGAGGCAGCAGUGAGGAAUAUUGGUCAAUGGGCGCGAGCCUGAACCAGCCAAGUAGCGUGAAGGAUGACUGCCCUACGGGUUGUAAACCUCUUUUGUCGGGGAGCAAAGCGAGUCACGUGUGACUCAUUGAGAGUACCCGAAGAAAAAGCAUCGGCUAACUCCGUGCCAGCAGCCGCGGUAAUACGGAGGAUUCAAGCGUUAUCCGGAUUUAUUGGGUUUAAAGGGUGCGUAGGCGGUCGGAUAAGUUAGAGGUGAAAUCCCGAGGCUCAACUUCGGAAUUGCCUCUGAUACUGUUCGGCUAGAGAGUAGUUGCGGUAGGCGGAAUGUAUGGUGUAGCGGUGAAAUGCUUAGAGAUCAUACAGAACACCGAUUGCGAAGGCAGCUUACCAAGCUACUUCUGACGUUGAGGCACGAAAGCGUGGGGAGCAAACAGGAUUAGAUACCCUUGUAGUC
rnacentral:rRNA from 1 species